AGCAGCCGCGGUAAUUCCAGCUCCAAUAGCGUAUAUUAAAGUUGUUGCAGUUAAAAAGCUCGUAGUUGGAUUUCGGGAUCAAUAUGUUGGUCGUGCCUCGGUACGUACUAGCAUAUUGGUUUCUCCUUUCUGAAGAACCAUGAUGUCAUUUAUUUGGUGUCGUGGGGAAUCAGGACUGUUACUUUGAAAAAAUUAGAGUGUUUAAAGCAGGCUCACGCUUGAAUACAUUAGCAUGGAAUAAUGAAAUAGGACGUUUGAUUCUAUUUUGUUGGUUUCUAGGAUCGACGUAAUGAUUAAUAGGGAUAGUUGGGGGCGAUUAGUAUUCAAUUGUCAGAGGUGAAAUUCUUGGAUUUAUUGAAGACUAACUACUGCGAAAGCAUUUGCCAAGGAUGUUUUCAUUAAUCAAGAACGAAAGUUAGGGGAUCGAAGACGAUCAGAUACCGUCGUAGUCUUAACCAUAAACUAUGCCGACUAGGGAUCGGAUGAUGUUAAUUUUUUAAUGACUCAUUC
rnacentral:misc_RNA from 1 species